ensembl:lncRNA
GUCAGAGUGAGGGUCCUCAGUCUGGGAUCUGGGAUCCUUCACUGGUCAUGGGUCACUUGGUAUCUCCCAGAGCAGAUGUUGUGGCUUUCUCUCUGAGACAUAGUUGUGGUCAUCAGAGAAGCCUGGGUGGCAGUGGAUGCUUUUCCAGUACUCUGGAACUGUUCAGAUCCAUGGAGGGACUGAACAGCACACCCCUUCCCCACAGAUGCUGUCCUAGGACAGAGACUCAUACCUCUGUGGGCGGUGGGAGGCAGUGACAGACUCUUCCAUUAGUGAAACUUGGUCACAAAACACAGGCGAUAACAACCACCCUCACCUUGUAAAUUAUAUUUGUAGAGCUCCCAGGAUGAGCCACUGCUGAAGAGUAGAUGGGACUGUCAUACUGGACCCUCACAACUGCAUAAGGAUCCCCAGAGACAGAUCUCAAGACAAGGAUUCAUGUUCAGGCUUCAAGGGGAUCCUGGGAGGAAGUGGAAGGGAAUGGUGGAAGUUAGACACAAGGGGAAGAAGUCAAACAAGGAUGCAAUUUCAGGUAAUGUCCCAUGCAGGGUACUCCAAUGUGUACCACUCUUCAGAAUUUACACCUACCCCUGGCACAGAAACUGGGCUUUUCCUUCUUCCGUUCUUACACUUGGCAAUCAUUAGCCAAAGGGGUGACAACCUCAAGAACGCUGACUCACCGCAUGUGAAGGGAAGUGGUACCAGUAGCCCCAGGCGGUGCUAGUGGUAAAGAACCCGCCUGCCAGUGCUGAAGAUGAAAGAAACACAGGUUUGAUCCCAGGGUUGGAAAGAUCCGCUGGAGGAGGAAAUGGCAACUCACUCCAGUAUGCUUGUUUGGAAAAAUCCCAUGGACAGAGUAGUCUGGCAGGCUACAGUCCAUGGGGUCGCAAAGAGUCAGACACAACUGAGUGACGAUCACACAUGAGGAAAUCUGGGUGAAACACCAACUUUUUCAGUUAUACCUCCCUUUUCUGACUUCUCAUUAACCCUGACCCAACAGGAAGUUUGAAAGAUUUAUCUGUCCAAAUUUGGCUAAUGGGAGGCAUUGGGGCAUAGCUUUGGGGUCAGCCUGAUUCAAGAGAAAAUCUCGGCCUAUCUUUUUGCAGCUUGUGGGGAACUGAUUUAGCCUCUCUGACUUAAAGUUUCUCAUUUGUAAACAGAAUAAUGAUAUACUUGGUGUAAUUUUGUUCUGGGCUGAGAUGCCUUUAUGUUUACUGUUUUCUUUGGCAGUAUGUCUACUGAGCAGUUGCUACAUGUAAGCUUAGGGCUAAGCAUCGGUAUCCUGAAAUGAAUCCAACAUAGGUACUGAGCUUGCCACUGAGUGGUGGAGGCAGGCACAGACAUUACAGAUCCUGUCCUUCUUGUAAGCUCUCUCUCUCUCUCCAUCUCCCUCUCAUUGAGUAGAGUUCCCUGUACUGUAUGGUAGGUUCUUGUUAGGUAUCAAUUUUAUACCUAGCAUCAAUAAUGCAUAUACUAGAAGUAAGUCAGAAAAACAAAUAUGGUAUGUUAAUGCAUAUAUAUGGGAGCUAGAAAAAUGAUAGUGAUGAACCUGUUUGCAGGGCGGGAACAGAGAUGCAGGCGUAGAGAGUGGACAGGGAAAGCAGAGGGUGAGAAGAAUCUAGACGGUGGCAUUGACAGGCACACACUACCAUGUGUGAAACAGAUAGCUAGUGGGGAGAUGCUGUGUUAUACAGGGAGUUCAGCUUGGCGCUCUGUGAGGGGUGGGGUAGGGAGGGGGUAGGAGGGAGGCUCGUGAAAGAGGGAUAUAUAUAAAUAUAUAUCUAUACUUCACAGCUAAUUCA